rnacentral:rRNA from 1 species
GCCUUUGAUACUGGUUAUCUUGAGUUGUAUUGAAGUAGGCGGAAUAUGUAGUGUAGCGGUGAAAUGCAUAGAUAUUACAUAGAACACCAAUUGCGAAGGCAGCUUACUAAGUACUAACUGACGCUGAUGGACGAAAGCGUGGGUAGCGAACAGGAUUAGAUACCCUGGUAGUCCACGCCGUAAACGAUGGAUACUAGCUGUUCGGGGCCUUGAGCUCUGAGCGGCUAAGCGAAAGUGAUAAGUAUCCCACCUGGGGAGUACGUUCGCAAGAAUGAAACUCAAAGGAAUUGACGGGGGCCCGCACAAGCGGUGGAGCAUGUGGUUUAAUUCGAUGAUACGCGAGGAACCUUACCAGGGCUUAAAUGUAGUCUGACAGCUUUAGAGAUAGAGUUUUCUUCGGACAGAUUACAAGGUGCUGCAUGGUUGUCGUCAGCUCGUGCCGUGAGGUGUCAGGUUAAGUCCUAUAACGAGCGCAACCCCUGUCGUUAGUUGCCAGCAUGUCAUGAUGGGGACUCUAACGAGACUGCCGGUGCAAACCGCGAGGAAGGUGGGGAUGACGUCAAAUCAUCACGGCCCUUACGUCCUGGGCCACACACGUGCUACAAUGGCCGGUACAGAGAGCAGCCACGUCGCAAGGCGGAGCGAAUCUAUAAAACCGGUCACAGUUCGGAUCGGAGUCUGCAACUCGACUUCGUGAAGCUGGAAUCGCUAGUAAUCGGAUAUCAGCCAUGAUCCGGUGAAUACGUUCCCGGGCCUUGUACACACCGCCCGUCAAGCCAUGGAAGC